ensembl:lncRNA
AAGGUUAAAAAUGUAAAUUUAUUGACAUACAUUUGUACCUUUUGUGCAUUCAUUACAUUUUUAAAAAAUGCAUCAUUUACACACUUGUUUGUUUUUCUUUAGAAUUUCAAAUGGGAAGAACAGAGCUUUGUCAACAACACGACAUUCCUGGAGAACAGCAGCAAAAGCAGGAUGGAUAAGGGAAGGGUAUGCAGCCAGGAGAGGAGAAAGGUGAAGAGGAAGGGUGAUUGCUACUCCACACACACCUCUCUCAUUGUGGCGGCACCAUGAAUGGGUGUUACCAUGGAGAUCAGGGCCUGGUCAGUCAUCCCAAAAGCCAUUUCUCUCAGGUACGUCUGUUCAUACUGAUCAAUAAUGACAAAAUCAAUUCAUUCCUCAUCUUGAAAAAUAUUGUAAUUCUUUUUCCUGAUACCUGAAACAUUCAUCUGCUUCUAGAGGGACACAGAAGAUGACUUCAGAGCAUACAUUCGCAACAACCUGCAACAGGUGAGUUAGAAGACAACUUGUGAAAGAGCCGAUAAAGUCCUGUGAAAAUGCUAUUUGAGCCUCCUCAGCUCACUUUUCUUCUUUCUUUUUGCCAGGAUCAAUGUGAAAACUCAGCAGUUCCCCUCAGUGUUGAGAGGAUCUUAAACAUCACUCGUGUUCUUUUCCAUCUGAAUCAGGCACUGAGUGGUGAACCUUUUCUUGCAGGGGUUAUGAGAGAGCUUGGCUGA